rnacentral:misc_RNA from 1 species
GAACAAUUUAACAUGAUCAAGGAAGUAGAGUAAAUUAACAGACUUCUAUAUAGGUAUUGGGAUUGUGUUAAAUACUGAAGAUGGAUGAAGGAAAUAAGAGAAACUUCAUCUUCUUUUUGAGCAUAUAUAGGUAAAGAAAAGAUUACAAUAGCAUGUCCAUUACAGGUGUAAUAUUUGCUGUACUAUUCUGUUAAUGGCCAGAAAUAGAAUUAUGGCUGCUCUUUCUCUGAUUCAUGAGAGGACUACUGUCUGCUUCGCUUCAAGGUACAAGACGGGCAUUUGUAUUGCUUUAUACUCUCAGCUUUAGCAGGUGUUAUCUUCACACACUUGCCAUGGUACCACUUCUCACAGAUGUCGCAGCCAAUCCAAAAUUCAUCAGCACUG